rnacentral:misc_RNA from 1 species
UCAUCAUGAGAGCUUCAAAACUGUAAUGAGCUACUGGCUGUUGUUGUUUAAAGUUACAGUACAUGUCAAAUUGCACGUAAAUGCUAUUUAUUGCUUGUGGUAGCAGUGGAUAUUUUAUUCUCUUUUUUGCUUUUUCCUAAUUUUUGUAUUAUUAGUGUCUAAAUUGUAUUUUAUCUUUCAAGAAUCAAUACAAUUUAGACACUAAUAAUACAAAAAUUAGGAAAAAGCAAAAAAGAGAAU